rnacentral:tRNA from 3 species
UAGUAAGUGGUGUAGUGGAAGCACAGAGAGUUUUGAUCUCUCCAGGUAGGGUUCGAACCCCUUCUUUCUAA